rnacentral:rRNA from 1 species
ACCCACGAGCAGGUUGAAGUCGCGGUAACACGUGAUGGAGGACCGAACCGGUAAACGUUGAAAAGUUUUCGGAUGACCUGUGGGUAGGGGUGAAAGGCCAAUCAAACUGGGAAAUAGCUCGUACUCUCCGAAAUGCAUUUAGGUGCAGCCUCUGUUGUUUUGUUCUAGAGGUAGAGCUACUGAUUGGAUGCGAGGGCUUCACCGCCUAUCAAAUCCGGCCAAACUCCGAAUGCUAGAACAUAAAGACAGGGAGUGAGCCAGCGGGUGCUAAGGUCCGUUGACGAAAGAGGGAGAACUCAGACCAUCAGCUAAGGUCCCCAAUUAUAUGCUAAGUUGGAAUAAAAACGGGGUGGGACUGCUUAGACAGCUAGGAUGUUGGCUUGGAAGCAGCCAUUCAUUUAAAGAGUGCGUAACAGCUCACUAGUCGAGCGGUCCUGCAUGGAUAAUACGCGGGCAUAAGCAUAUAACCGAAGCUAUGGGAUUGUAGAUGAUACAAUCGGUAGGAGAGCAUUCCAUUCAGCAUAGAAGCAGUAUCGUGAGGUAUUGUGGAGCGGAUGGAAAAGCAAAUGUAGGCAUAAGUAACGAUAAUGCGGGUGAGAACCCCGCACGCCGAAAGAUCAAGGAUUCCCCGGCAAUGUCAAUCAUCCGGGGGUAAGUCGGAUCCUAAGGGUAAGCCGAGUGGCGAUCCCGAUGGCAAACAGGUUAAUAUUCCUGUACUGAUCAUAACUGCGAUGCAGCGACGCAGAGGUGACACUGCUGCGUACUGACGGAAUAGUACGUUGAAACCCGUAUUCUUUGAUACCGGUAGUGAAGCACGCCGGUAGAGAUGAAAGGUGAUAGUACCGCAAUGCUUCGGUUGCGCGGAUAAUGCAGGUAAGCUGACUGCCAAGAAAACCUGCUAAGCUUCAGGUAAUGAUCAUCCGUACUGUAAACGGACACACGUGAUCAGGUAGAAAAUACUAAGGCGCUCGAGAGAUUCAUGGUUAAGGAACUAGGCAAAAUGGUCCUGUAACUUCGGGAUAAAGGACGCUCUUGUGAAAGAGCCGCAGAUAAUAGGCCCAGGCGACUGUUUACCAAAAACACAUGGCUAUGCUAAUUCGCAAGAAGAUGUAUAUGGCCUGACACCUGCCCGGUGCCGGAAGGUUAAGAGGAGAGCUCAGAGGUAACUCGAAGGUUUGAAUUGAAGCCCCGGUAAACGGCGGCCGUAACUAUAACGGUCCUAAGGUAGCGAAAUUCCUUGUCGGGU